UUUAUGGAGAGUUUGAUCCUGGCUCAGGAUGAACGCUGGCGGCGUGCCUAAUACAUGCAAGUCGAGCGAACGGACGAGAAGCUUGCUUCUCUGAUGUUAGCGGCGGACGGGUGAGUAACACGUGGAUAACCUACCUAUAAGACUGGGAUAACUUUGGGAAACUGGAGCUAAUACCGGAUAAUAUUUUGAACCGCAUGGUUC
rnacentral:rRNA from 1 species